rnacentral:rRNA from 1 species
UUGAACGCUGGCGGCAGGCUUAACACAUGCAAGUCGAACGGUAACAGGAAUCAGCUUGCUGAUUCGCUGACGAGUGGCGGACGGGUGAGUAAUGUCUGGGAAACUGCCUGAUGGAGGGGGAUAACUACUGGAAACGGUAGCUAAUACCGCAUAACGUCGCAAGACCAAAGAGGGGGACCUUCGGGCCUCUUGCCAUCGGAUGUGCCCAGAUGGGAUUAGCUAGUAGGUGGGGUAACGGCUCACCUAGGCGACGAUCCCUAGCUGGUCUGAGAGGAUGACCAGCCACACUGGAACUGAGACACGGUCCAGACUCCUACGGGAGGCAGCAGUGGGGAAUAUUGCACAAUGGGCGCAAGCCUGAUGCAGCCAUGCCGCGUGUAUGAAGAAGGCCUUCGGGUUGUAAAGUACUUUCAGCGGGGAGGAAGGGAGUAAAGUUAAUACCUUUGCUCAUUGACGUUACCCGCAGAAGAAGCACCGGCUAACUCCGUGCCAGCAGCCGCGGUAAUACGGAGGGUGCAAGCGUUAAUCGGAAUUACUGGGCGUAAAGCGCACGCAGGCGGUUUGUUAAGUCAGAUGUGAAAUCCCCGGGCUCAACCUGGGAACUGCAUCUGAUACUGGCAAGCUUGAGUCUCGUAGAGGGGGGUAGAAUUCCAGGUGUAGCGGUGAAAUGCGUAGAGAUCUGGAGGAAUACCGGUGGCGAAGGCGGCCCCCUGGACGAAGACUGACGCUCAGGUGCGAAAGCGUGGGGAACAAACAGGAUUAGAUACCCUGGUAGUCCACGCCGUAAACGAUGUCGACUUGGAGGUUGUGCCCUUGAGGCGUGGCUUCCGGAGCUAACGCGUUAAGUCGACCGCCUGGGGAGUACGGCCGCAAGGUUAAAACUCAAAUGAAUUGACGGGGGCCCGCACAAGCGGUGGAGCAUGUGGUUUAAUUCGAUGCAACGCGAAGAACCUUACCUGGUCUUGACAUCCACAGAACUUUCCAGAGAUGGAUUGGUGCCUUCGGGAACUGUGAGACAGGUGCUGCAUGGCUGUCGUCAGCUCGUGUUGUGAAAUGUUGGGUUAAGUCCCGCAACGAGCGCAACCCUUAUCCUUUGUUGCCAGCGGUCCGGCCGGGAACUCAAAGGAGACUGCCAGUGAUAAACUGGAGGAAGGUGGGGAUGACGUCAAGUCAUCAUGGCCCUUACGACCAGGGCUACACACGUGCUACAAUGGCGCAUACAAAGAGAAGCGACCUCGCGAGAGCAAGCGGACCUCAUAAAGUGCGUCGUAGUCCGGAUUGGAGUCUGCAACUCGACUCCAUGAAGUCGGAAUCGCUAGUAAUCGUGGAUCAGAAUGCCACGGUGAAUACGUUCCCGGGCCUUGUACACACCGCCCGUCACACCAUGGGAGUGGGUUGCAAAAGAAGUAGGUAGCUUAACCUUCGGGAGGGCGCUUACCACUUUGUGAUUCAUGACUGGGGUG